GGUUGUGGCUCAGAGGUAGAGUGCCCAACUAGUAUGCAUGAGGUGCUGGGUUCGAUCCUCAGCACCA
rnacentral:tRNA from 1 species